rnacentral:tRNA from 2 species
AGUCGUAUGGUCUAAUGGUUAUGAUUUCUCGUUCACAUGUAUGUGUUCAAUGUCCCGAGAAGGUUCCGUGUUCGAUCCACGGUACGACUA